GACGAACGCUGACGGCGUGCUUAACACAUGCAAGUCGAACGAUGAAGCUAGAGCUUGCUCUGGUGGAUUAGUGGCGAACGGGUGAGUAACACGUGAGUAACCUGCCCCGAACUCUGGGAUAACUGCUGGAAACGGUAGCUAAUACCGGAUAUGACCAAUGAAGGCAUCUUCUGUUGGUGGAAAGAAUUUCGGUUCGGGAUGGACUCGCGGCCUAUCAGCUUGUUGGUGAGGUAACGGCUCACCAAGGCGACGACGGGUAGCCGGCCUGAGAGGGGGAUCGGCCACACUGGGACUGAGACACGGCCCAGACUCCUACGGGAGGCAGCAGUGGGGAAUAUUGCACAAUGGGCGCAAGCCUGAUGCAGCAACGCCGCGUGAGGGACGACGGCCUUCGGGUUGUAAACCUCUUUUAGUAGGGAAGAAGCGAAGGUGACGGUACCUGCAGAAAAAGCACCGGCUAACUACGUGCCAGCCGCCGCGGUAA
rnacentral:rRNA from 1 species